rnacentral:lncRNA from 1 species
UUUCUCUGUACUCCUCUUGCUGCAUAACAGCAGUGAGUAGUCUAUAAGGCCUGUUCAGUCUUGUUUUAACAACUUCAGUGUUCAGCGUUAUGGGUGUAUGAUCUGAGCAUCCUAGUAGCAUAUAAACUGCUUCCACUCCAGUGUAGGUAUUGAACCAUUCAGGGUUGCCAAAAGCCCAGUCAAUGUGAGUGUAUAUACUUUUUUCACUGUCUCUUUUGUUGCUCCAGGAGUAUCUGUUCCCUCUCUUGGUAAUCUGUCCUACUCCUAUAUCAUCAAUGCAGUUUUGGAAAUCAGUCAUUUCUGAGUGGUGUACUGGUUGUCCAUUGAUUCUGUCUUCCACUCCUAGCACACUGUUGAAAUCACCUAAUAUGAGCCAUAGACCAUUGUAGUUGAC